rnacentral:lncRNA from 1 species
CAGGGAGGCACAGGGAGGGAUGACAGCAACACCACGAGUUGGAUGACUCUGGCCUGGAUGGGAGGUCAAGGUGUGCAAAGAUUUCCAGGUCAGCCCAGCCCAGCCUGAGCCUCAGGAAGGGUGAGCCCCAGAGAUUGGAGAUUCUGGGUAUCUUCCUGAUCAGACCCAAGUCAGUGAUCUUUGGGGUCACCUUGCCAUUUCAUGCUUUGAACAGACCCUAAGCAUGCCAUCAAGGUGUGAGGACCCUGCAGAUGUAGACACCCCAGCGUCCAGAUGCACUGGCCUUGGAAGUCUAAAGACAAAAGUCCAGAGAGAAUAGCCGACCCUCCUGUUCUCCUGCAGAGGAGGAAACAUGCUGAUACUCAGCUGCAAAUUCAAGUUUGGAAGCUGAAAUCAUUUCUGCGUCAGGAGUUUUUGCUUGGAAAGCACUUUCUAGAGAUUUCCAUUUCCACCCUUCAUAAUCCCAUUUUAGAUUUUUUCCCCCCUGUUUAUGUGAACUCACCACUUAUAUUUCCUUUUCAAAAAAUUUCUCUGGGUCCUAGAUUCUGUGGGGUUUUAAGAAUAUGGACAGGGAUAGCACAAAUCACAUCAUUAAAUCUUGGUGUUGAGCUGGGCCUCAGGAGGCUGAGUCUGAAGCAGGAGGAGGAGGAUGGCUUGAACCCAGGAGUUCAAGGCCAGCCUGGGCAACACAGCAUGGCCCCAUCUCAAAAAACAAAAACAAAACCCAACAACUUGGUGCUUAUCUUAUACCAUGUGGCAGCCCACAGCCCACACACGGGGCAAAUGCAUGAAUCCCCUCUGAGAAGGGCUUGUCCAGGCUUUGCUCAAUCCCCUCUAGGGCUGGAAACUUACUACCUCACAAGUGAGCCAUUUCGUCUCCAGGUAACUUACGUUCAUCUUUAUAUUGAAUUGGUCUGUCUUUGUAUCGCUCUUGUUCAGAAAGGAGUUUAUAGUCAUUGCAAGAAAGACAAAUAAAGGUAGCUAUUAUGUCAGCUAAAAAUUGCAUAGAGGUGUAUAUUCAAGGGCCUGUGCUAGGUAAUUUACAUGUGGACUCCACCCCUCCCCGGUAUUCUGAGAGACACUGCUCAGAGGAGAGACUGGCUCACAUGGCCCGGCCUGCCCAGCCUCUACAGAGUCAGACGGGCUGGGAAGGAAUCAUCGCCCGGAGCUGUCUAAUCUGUGGGGUCUUUAAUGGGAAGUAGGAGAUGGAAGAGGAGAUGGGAACACUUCCGGAGGCGAUGGGUAAACAUUGGGGACAGCAUUGGGUCUUUCAGGGUCCAUCAGCCUACACAGCAGGCACCCUUCUGUGUCUGCCUUCCUGGGCACAGGUGUACAUGGCUGGUAAUGACCCUAAGGGGCUGGAUUGCAACUGCCGAGGCAGGACGGAGGGAUGGCGGGUGGCAAUGUGGCCAGGCUGAG